UAACGACUAUGUGUAUGUUUACAACAUUGUUGCCAGGAGACUUUUAUAUAAUAUAAUAAUUCAUUUGGUUUCUAAUCUUCAAAGCAUCAAGAAGCUUGGGGAAAAAUAUAUAUUUUUAUAAACUCAACAUUGGAUAUUUUUAUACUAGAAUUAUUGGAUAUUAUCACUAUAAUGAAUAAGUUGGUAUUGUCUCUGAUUGCUUUAUCAGUUGUGUAUAUUGGUCUUGAGGCAUUGACCUGUUCAACUGAUGAUGAUUGUUCAGGAGGGCAGAUCUGUUAUAUUCUUGGGGACUGUGCCAAUGGCACAUGCACUUGCUAUGCAGACCAGGUGUGGGUCAACGAAACCUGUGAAUUAGGAGCUGCGUUUGGGGCUUCUUGUAGCGGUGAAGGUUCUGGGAACUGUAAAACACAAGGGGCCAGUUGUAACACAACCUGUAUCUGUCCUCAAGUGGCAGGGUACGACCCAAUCACUGAAUCGUGUGUCAACACAAAUGGGAAAACAAUUCUAAAUGAAUAUAAUGCAGACUGCUCUGGAAGUGACACUAUAUGUAAUGUGAACAAAGGGUUUGUGUGCAACAAUAACAGUGUAUGUGCCUGUAAUUCAGCAAUGAAAAACAGUGAUGGAAUUUGCAUCUACAAGGACUUGGGAGACCCUUGCACUGUUGAUGCAGACUGUCAGGGGGUCUACUCGGCAGAGUGUACAAACCAAACGUGCCAAUGUCAGACAGGGGAGACUGCGGGAACAGUCUGGCCCAUACAAAGCUAUGGUGAUCUAGUUCAACUGAACCUUAAUGAUGGGCUUGGGAUCUGCAAACCAGCAGGAGCUGUGGAGAGAAAUGUAUCUGGUCAAACAUGUCAUUUAACCUUAAAUGGUGAUGUUGCCCAGUUGUGCCCAAGCACCGCAAAGUACUGCACCCAGUGUCCCGAUACUUCUAACAAUCAAAACGACUAUAUGGUGGGAAAAUGCUACAAUAGCAUUGUAUACCUACCUACCUCAACUGGGAUAGGUGGCGUUGGUCAGAAUUCUGGCAAUUUUGUUGUAUCCAAUAUUCUCCUUACUUUCAUGAGUGUUCUGUUUGGACUUUUCACAUUUGAGCAUUAACCCUUUCAUGUUCAAGAUUUUCUUUUGCAAUGCUGGUCAUUACACAAGAGCAACCAUGUUAGAAUGUUUUGAGGUAAAGUUUUGGUGUCUGGUCAAUAUACAGGGUGUUCAAAAAGUAACUAAACUUAUACUGACAUUUUGUUAAUUCUGCACCUAUUUUGUUCAGAUUUUUUCAAAAUAUACUUCCAAAUAUUGGGACUAGACUAACAAAUAUGAAAAUAUAUUAAGAAGUUCCGUUAGAGUUAUGGUUGCUAUGGUAAUGUGACAUCAUAGUUGCAUAGGCAAACUUAUAUCACAAAGUAGGAAUCUGGACUCCUAUUGAAUACCCUGAAUGACCGAUAUUUCUGUCACAAAUAAAUAAAAACCAGUCCUGUUACUUUUAAGACACUCAAGGGAAACAUGGAAUGCAAUAGAAAUCAAAUUUCACUAAGAAUGUACACCUCGAUCAUUAGCAGUUUGAAACUGAAUUCCUACAGUUGUUCAUAUCAUGGCAACACUGAAACAUGCAAAUUAUUAGGUUGAGUUGUUGUUUUCUUAUAUAUACUGUUACUAGCUGGUUCUAGUCAGAGAGAAAUGACAAGAAGAAAUGUGUCAUUUUGAAGUUGAAAAUGUUGUUGCAUAGGUCAUGCUUAUCCCCAACAAUGAGGUUUAUGCUGUACCUGCAUUUUCUUGUAUGAAACAUUCCAUUGAUAUGUACACCAGUGUGUGUUCAAAAGCUAUACAACUAUUCUGUUAAUAUAGCAUUAGUUAUUUGUAAAGGUUCAUGAAGAAGUCUAUAAUGACGUGUAUGUAUGUUUUAUGAAGCCAAUCUCUCAAACCAUGAAAACAAUAGCCUUCAAGUGUACAAACUAAUACAAAUAUAAGUGUAUUAGACAAUAUGUCUAGAGAACAAUAUUUGAUGAGUACAAUAUACUAUACUUGGAGUAUAAUAUUUGUUGAGUACAAUACACUAUACUUGGAAUAUAAUAUUUAUUGAUUACAAUAUACUAUACUUGGAGUACAAU
rnacentral:misc_RNA from 1 species